UGUUUUGUACAAUGUAAAGGUUUGGCAGCACUCAAUGUGUUCCUUUAUUUUUAAAAAAGCCUUCAUGAUAAAGAGAAAAUGAAGAAAGAACAUUGUGAUGGUCUAGUGUCGGAACCAUUGACAGCACCAAGUGGAAAAGAAGAACCAUCUACUUUCUAGAGAAGUUGAGAAGAAAAAUCAGUGGCUGGAAGCAGUGGAAACGAUCAGUUAGGAAUCUCUCCACAGAAAUUAGCUGGUCAUCAUAUGUCACUUGCUGCAGAGUUAAUUAACCGUUAUAAAUGUCUGACUUCUCGAGCAGAGGCAGAAAAGGAAACGGAAAUGUGGAGUCAUCAUCCACACCCCCUCCAAUGGUGAAGGUAGCUGUGGCAGGAGCCACUGCAUUGCUUCAAAUGGAUGCAUUUGCAGAAAGGUGAUAGAUGAGGCGCUGGGUGGGAAUGGACUGGCUGGAAAAGAAGCCUGGAACUGAGAACAAGUGAGGAAGCGGGAAGGAGAGACAGACAUCUGAUGAGGAGCCAGAGUGUGCUGGAAGAACUGGGACUGGCUGGAGG